rnacentral:lncRNA from 1 species
ACGCCGAAGAGCACGCGUACCGGCUGUCCAUCUUCAAGGCCAACCUGCGCCGCGCGCGCCGGCACCAGCUGCUGGACCCGUCGGCGGAGCACGGCGUCACUAAGUUCUCCGACCUGACGCCGGCCGAGUUCCGCCGGACCUACCUCGGCCUCCGUAAGUCACGGCGCGCGCUCCUCAGAGAGCUCGGGAAGUCGGCGAACGAGGCGCCUGUGCUCCCCACCGAUGGCCUGCCCGACGACUUCGAUUGGAGGGACCACGGCGCCGUCACCCCUGUCAAGAACCAGGUCGGUUUCCACCGAAUCUGCAUGGAUCCACAGAUCGGGGCCGUUCUUUCAUGGUUUCCCGAUCUAUUUGGGUCUUUCCUCUAUCUAAAUGACUCCUCAAUUUCCU